UUUUGGUUUUCUCUAUUAUAGCUGACUGAGAGGCUAACAGGCCAUCACAGGGCCCUCCAAGGCAGGCUCAUUUCAGGUGCAGCUUGGGUCCACAUCUCUGAUCAUCCAAAAGAUAAGUCAGGGGCCAUGGCCUGGAGAUGGGAGAGUAGCGGGUUGGGGGUUCUUGGGCCAGAUUUAAAAAUUAGCAGAGGGAAAAGCAAACUUCUCCAAGAGCCUCUUAGGCCAGCUAAAGGGAGAGGCUCUACUUUUGAUGGCAGCUUUCAGGCGGGCAGUGCAGAACAGCUCUGGUUUGUGUCAUGUUGUCCAGUGUGCCGUGUUACCUAGUGUGUCUUUGGGGUCUCUUUUGCCUUCUUCCCUCAAGGCCCUCCCCACAAGCAUGAUGUGUCGUGUUUGAUGUCCCCCUGUUUGUCACGUUCUGUGUCACGGGUGUCUGCACAUAUUUGUGCCGGAGCUGUCCUGCCCUGCUGCAUGGCCUGCUGCAAUAGGACAAGCCCUGGGGAGUGUAAAUUUGUAAUGUGGGUUGUACUUGGGCUCUAGAUGCUAUUCCAAGAUUGACAUAAGGUGUUUGCAUGUUGUGAGUUAUCCUGGUGGUGUUUGACAUAUGUUCUAACUUUCUUUCAGGUGCAGAUGUGUUGCAUCCAUGGCAGAGGGUCAGGGUUAGGAGGUGCCGGGCCUUCCUAGGAGCACGCUGUCUGAGAGACACCAGCCAAGUGCCAGCAGGACCUUCCCAGCUAGCGAGGUGGCCUUUCUUUGCACCUGACAGGGAUCAGCAUCCCCUGAUGUCUGAGAGAUAAGUAGAGGGCUAAGGCCCACAGAGGGGAUGAAAGCAGGUUUGGGAAUUACUAGGAGGGGUUUUGGAGUCCACUUUGGAGGUGGGGCGUGUUCAUGAAGUGGCCCUUUAGGCCCCAUAAAAGCAAAGUCUCACUUUUGAUCACAGAGCUGAGGUGUGCAGCAGGGCAGAACAGUCUCGGUAUGUCUCGUGUCACUUGUCUAUUGUGCAUUAUGUGUUGUUUGGGUGUGUCAUGUCUUUUACCUUAGCCCUUUGAGGAGCCUGUCAGAAACCCUGGCAUCAUUGUUAGCAUCUGUGAUCUCUGCAUUCCUUGGCCUGGCACCCAGGCCAUAGAACUUUUGACUCGGGAGUUCAGACAGACAUCAGACUCUCUUCUGUCUUUAGAAGCAUCCAGUCAGAUGUCUUUUCAGGUCUUGUUCUGAGUUAUAUGGACAGCUAUGCCCCACCUGGAUCCAUUAUGGUGGAUUAGGGCUUGUAAUAAUAUGAGGUUAGUUAGAGGAUUCUGACCAUAGGACUCCUAGGCAUCCAUCUUUGCUGUUCUUGGAAUAAAUCAUCCAGUUUAGCAUCUUCUUCCUCCAGGGUUCUCUGAGCCUCAUCAGCUCACCAUCGGUCUUACCUCGGUCAUCUCUUUUUGCAUUCUCUCAGUCCUCGCAGCCAUUUUCCUUGCCAAGAGAUUUCUGUGCCUGUUGUGUCCUCGUUGUCUGUCACGUCCUAUCCCGUGUCAUGGGUGUCAGCCCACAUUUGUGCCAGAGCUGCUCUGCCCUGCCGCAUAGCCUGGUGCAAUAGGAGAAGUCCUGGGGACUUGAAGUUCGUAUUGUGAGGUGUAGGUGGACUCUAGAUGGGAUUUGUAAAUGGACACAAGAUAUCUGGAGCCCUUAAGUUAUCCUGCAGCCCUUUGACUCUUGUCCUAACUUUCUUUCAGAUGCAGAAGGAUAAAAUCCAGGGCAGAGUACCCCAUCCCAAGUGAGGAGGUUCCCCGAGCAGGAAGUCAAGGGCCAGAGCAGCAGUCAAGACCGAGUGGGCAAGGU